UAGAGUUUGAUCAUGGCUCAGAACGAACGCUGGCGGCGUGCUUAACACAUGCAAGUCGAGCGAGAAAGGGGGGGGCAACCCUCCCGAGUAAAGCGGCGCACGGGUGAGUAACGCGUGGGUAACCUACCCCUCGGCGGGGGAUAACUACUCGAAAGGGUGGCUAAUACCGCAUGAGACCACGGGGUCCUCGGACCCUGAGGCCAAAGGUCGCUCCGGCUUGCCGGGGCGGUCACCGGAGGAUGGGCCCGCGUCCGAUUAGCUAGUUGGCGAGGUAACGGCUCACCAAGGCUACGAUCGGUAGCUGGUCUGAGAGGAUGAUCAGCCACACUGGAACUGGAACACGGUCCAGACUCCUACGGGAGGCAGCAGUGAGGAAUAUUGCGCAAUGGGGGAAACCCUGACGCAGCAACGCCGCGUGGGUGAAGAAGGCCUUCGGGUCGUAAAGCCCUUUCGGACGGGACGAACGCUCCGCGGUGACAACCCGCGGAGCUUGACGGUACCGUAAGAAGAAGCACCGGCUAACUCCGUGCCAGCAGCCGCGGUAAUACGGAGGGUGCAAGCGUUGUUCGGAAUUACUGGGCGUAAAGCGCGUGUAGGCGGCCUUGCAAGCCAGACGUGAAAGCCCUCGGCUUAACCGGGGAAGUGCGUCUGGAACUGCUCGGCUCGAGUACGGGAGAGGGAGGCGGAAUUCCCAGUGUAGAGGUGAAAUUCGUAGAUAUUGGGAGGAACACCGGUGGCGAAAGCGGCCUCCUGGACCGAUACUGACGCUGAGGCGCGAAAGCCAGGGGAGCAAACGGGAUUAGAUACCCCGGUAGUCCUGGCCCUAAACGAUGAGUGCUUGGUGUGGCGGGUAUCGAUCCCUGCCGUGCCGAAGCUAACGCAUUAAGCACUCCGCCUGGGGAGUACGGUCGCAAGGCUGAAACUCAAAGGAAUUGACGGGGGCCCGCACAAGCGGUGGAGCAUGUGGUUUAAUUCGACGCAACGCGAAGAACCUUACCCGGGCUUGAACUGCAGAUGAUCGACGGCGAAAGUCGUUUCCCGCAAGGGCGUCUGUAGAGGUGCUGCAUGGCUGUCGUCAGCUCGUGUCGUGAGAUGUUGGGUUAAGUCCCGCAACGAGCGCAACCCUUGUCUGCUGUUGCCAUCAGGUAAAGCUGGGCACUCUGCGGAGACUGCCGGUGACAAACCGGAGGAAGGUGGGGAUGACGUCAAGUCCGCAUGGCCUUUAUGUCCGGGGCCACACACGUGCUACAAUGGGCGGUACAAACCGUUGCGAUCUCGCAAGAGGGAGCUAAUCGGAGAAAGCCGCUCUCAGUUCGGAUUGUAGGCUGCAACUCGCCUGCAUGAAGUUGGAAUCGCUAGUAAUCGCGGAUCAGCACGCCGCGGUGAAUACGUUCCCGGGCCUUGUACACACCGCCCGUCACAUCACGAAAGCUGGCUGUACUAGAAGUCGCCGCACCAACCCGCAAGGGGGACAGGCGCCCACGGUAUGAUCGGUGAUUGGGGUGAAGUCGUAACAAGGUAACCGUAA
rnacentral:rRNA from 1 species